rnacentral:rRNA from 1 species
GACGAACGCUGGCGGCGUGCUUAACACAUGCAAGUCGAACGGAAAGGCCCUGCUUUUGUGGGGUGCUCGAGUGGCGAACGGGUGAGUAACACGUGCGUAACCUGCCCUUGACUUUGGGAUAACUUCAGGAAACUGGGGCUAAUACCGGAUAGGAGCUCCUGCUGCAUGGUGGGGGUUGGAAAGUUUCGGCGGUUGGGGAUGGACUCGCGGCUUAUCAGCUUGUUGGUGGGGUAGUGGCUUACCAAGGCUUUGACGGGUAGCCGGCCUGAGAGGGUGACCGGCCACAUUGGGACUGAGAUACGGCCCAGACUCCUACGGGAGGAAGCAGUGAGGAAUAUUGCACAAUGGGCGGAAGCCUGAUGCAGCAACGCCGCGUGCGGGAUGACGGCCUUCGGGUUGUAAACCGCUUUCGCCUGUGACGAAGCGUGAGUGACGGUAAUGGGUAAAGAAGCACCGGCUAACUACGUG